UACGUAGGGGCCGAGCGUUGUCCGGAGUUACUGGGCGUAAAGCGCGCGCAGGCGGCUCGUCAAGCCUGACGUGAAAGCCCCCGGCUCAACCGGGGAGGGUCGUCGGGGACUGGCGGGCUUGAGGUCGGCAGGGGUUGGUGGAAUUCCCGGUGUAGUGGUGAAAUGCGUAGAGAUCGGGAGGAACACCCGUGGCGAAGGCGGCCAACUGGGCCGGACCUGACGCUGAGACGCGAAAGCGUGGGGAGCAAACAGG
rnacentral:rRNA from 1 species